rnacentral:lncRNA from 1 species
GUCAAAUUGUGCAUUUCUGGCUGUGGCAUAGGCACGAGCCGCCAUAUAGUAGCGGCCAGGGGACCGAUUAGCAGUGAGAAUUACAUUAGUUGUUUGGCCAGGUCCAAUCAUAAUGACAUUAGUUGUAAAAGGCUUGUUGUAAGUAGCAUCAAUACCCACAACAGUGAGCAUGUGGUUGGCAACUGAGAAGAAAAGUUGUUGAUUGAGUGCAGCAUUGAUAACCCUCAGGAGAACUUUUUCUCCAGGAUUCACCAAGAAUUUCACGGUACCUGCAUUAUAAUUCUGAAAAUUAGUCCUGAUUAAACGAUUUAUUUACACUGUCGGCGUAUAUAAGAUAAAUCCUUUCAGAAGGCUAAUAUGUAGUAAGAACCUUGUCUAGAGCAUCUGUAGAGGUCACCAGGUUGACCAUUAAUAGUAUACGCAUCAGAAAUAUUAGGAGCUGCCCCAGUAAACUGUGCUUGUCUUUGUACUGCAAUGAUGUCCCUGUUCCACCAUUCCCCUAUGUUUAAAAAACAAAAUUUUAUUAGUCACAUUUAAUUUUUUAUCAAGAUUAAUAAAAACCAAGAUUUCAAGAAAUGAAAAGGAAACAAAGUAGUACCAAGAAUAACAGGAACAUCUUUCUGGGGUAGUGGAAAAGGAAAGUUAGAACCCUGUUUGGGUAAAAUAACUAAUGCUCCAUAAACAGUAGCUCUAAGCCAUCUGCUGUGAGCAUGCCACCACAAUGUACCCUCUUGAUUUUCAAUAGUGAAUCUGUAUGUGUAAAAUCCUCCUGGUCUAAUUGGGCAUUGUGUUACAUACUCAGUCCCAUCAGCCCAUGGUGUUCGCAUUUGACGAACUCCGUGCCUGCACGAAAAUUUAGAACCGUUUAAGUUUUAUGCACCGACAAAGUAAAAAAAUUUCAGUUAUAAGGUAGUGAUUACCAAUGGAUGGUAACGUUGUAACGAGCUUUAUUAACGACAGUAACAAACAGUGUAUCUCCGUUUCGAACUAUCAAGGUUGGCCCUGGGAUUUGUCCAUUUACUGUGAUUAUAUUCUUGGUUCUACAUAGCCUUGUUACACUGGUUUCUUGAACCUGUUCAAAAAAAAAAAAAAAUUAUCUCAUGACAAUGUGGGAUAAUUUUUCUAAAUUAGAAGAAAAAAAGGUGACAGGAUACUUACAAUAAAUUCAUGGUAAUGAAAUUCUGCAUUGGCAAAAGUAGACAGUAGUGAUAGUAUAACCACAAUGAGACAACUUAUACAAGUCUCCAUUUCACUUCUUUUGUGCAUUUGCUUUAGUAAAAACUUGAAAGUUGUAAUGCUAAGUUUAGAGGACUUAAUGAAAUGCUAAUGCAAUGAUUAGAGGACUUAAUGAAGUUGUCUAUUUAUAAUGUUACAAGGAUGGAAUCAUAAACUUAGUUUAGUCUAUUAAAAAAAAUGAAAGAUUAAGGGAUUUGGAGAUAGAUUAGUUUAAAGUCAAACAGGGAUUUUGGAAAGUUUUAGGCUACUUAGUCCAACUAUGUGAUGGAUUUGGUGGAACCACUUGCAACUUUAUUCUUAAUCCAAAUAGAUAGCUUUAAAUUUUUUUUUUUAAACAAAAAUAAAUCAUCCGUACAAUGAAUGUAAGUUUGCUGUUUCUCUCUUAUAAAUCAGUAAAUUCAGUUAUUAACGGUUUCUCUUUUUGUUUUCCCCCAAAGUUUCUUCCAUCCUUCUUAUUUAAUUUUCAUCUUCCUUCUCUAGGUAAAAUCUUGUUCUAUUUUAAUAUGUGAAAGAAGAUGGUAGUACCUAAUCGAGUGAUUUAAUAACGUUUUUUCACACUAUUAGGUCUACUAAAAGAUAACUACAAGUGACCGUCCAUAAAAGGGCAUUUAGCAACCUGAAAGAAAAAGUUUACAUGUUGUAAUUUGGUAAAAUGUAUUGAUAAUGUAAAUUAUUUACAGUUAGUAUAUACAAGUUAAAAUCUGAUUAAUGAAUUUGAAAUUAAUUCAAUACGUUGAGGAGGAAUACUUUAUUCGAGACAAUUAGUUGAGGAGGAAUAUUACAUUAAUCUUUUCUUUUUUAUAUGGAGUUGAAUUUGUUUCAUUAGCAUGGUAAGACAAUUGAAAUAUCUAAGUAUGAAGGGGACCGUUUGUUGGCCAAACAAUGAAGAAGGUAAACCAAUUACAGGUGAGCAAAUGGUCCUAAUUACUAGAAGCAGCAUAACCCAAAUGGGCAGUAUAUAUAUAUAUAUAAAGAACUAAGCCCAAAAAGAAGUUAAGGAAUUCAACAUCAAAUACACACGCAUGAAACAAAAUUACUCACUCAAUCGCUCUUAUUAGUGAGGAGGCUUAGUGCAGAAAGGGAGCGAGACCAUGCCAAGCCACUUGUAGAGUCAUUUGAAAUUCAAGAUUCAAACGUUAAACUUUGACCGACAAUUCGGAUAUAGAAGUUUUAAUUUAAAAAUAAAAAAAUAAAAAAAAUUCAUAACUUUGGAAACUAGGCAAAAGUAUUAUUAAUCACAAUAAUUAAUGAUUUAAAAUUUUUGAAAGACAUAUAAAGAAAUUUCAAUAAAAAAGAAUUGGCUGACUCUCAAAAUUUCAACCAUGUCAUGUAAAUUAUGACAGAGGGAGUAGCUAUCUACUCUGUUAUUUUCCAGUGAAAAAGUCCAAAUUACUGACUUUCAAGUUGGUUAAAUUUUGGGUUGGUUUUAGUGGAUUAAAAUUAAUACUACUGGUAGGAAAAAUUUAAUUCGAACAGCACAGCAAAUAAAUACGAAAUAUGGGUUUUGGAUGUAAACUUUCUUUGCUCUACUAAGUACAUUAUUAUUUCACAGUAGAAAUAGUUGUCUGCUUAGUUUUUAAAAUUACAGUUAUUUGAUUAGGUCAUUAGUCACUUAUAUCUGGUUUUUGAGGCAUUGUCUUGGUUGGGGAAUAGACUGGUAGUUUGCUUAUAUAAACUUGGAUAAUUCUCUCCCUCUUAGCUAGUUUUUUAGAUUGAGUUAGGAUCAAAAUUCACUAUUAAUAUGGUAUCAAGGCCAGAGCCAGGUCCAUUCCCAUUUAGGCUCGGUCCAUGCGUCAAUGCCAAUUGGGUCUGAGCAUGAAGGGGUAUUAGAGUGGGUAAAAGUUCCACAUUGAUUAGGGAAUGAACUGGUAGUUUGUUUUUGUUGAGUUUUGCAUUUAUUUACUGCAGUAAUUUUAGUUUAACAAAUUAUUUAGUUACAAUGAAUUUAAAUUUUAAAUUUUAGACUAGGUUGUUUUAUUUGUUGAGAAAUUUUAGGUUUUUGAUUUUAAAUUAUGCAGAUUUUUAUUUUAUGUUGACUAUUUAAAGCCCCAUAAUGUUCAAUAAAAUCAUUGGAAAGCCAUUGAAAGCUAUUGAAAGAUUUCAAUCCAUUGAGCCAUUUUAACUCCUUUUUCGCUACCAUCUUAUUUAAAAAAAAACAGUGGUAUCAGAUCUUCAUUGAUCUUACGAGAUCUGUAAAUUCUUCCAAAGCGCUACCAUAUCAUUUUUAACUCGUAAGGGACACCUUUUUAACCCGUCGGGACUACCCAUUUUAACCCAUCAGGGCUACCAUUUUCAACACAUGCGUAUUUUCAAAGCGUUGGACUAUUUUCAAUCAAAAAGAUGUCAAUCAGCAGUCUCUCUUUGCAUGCCCCAAAAAUUUUCACAGAUAAAAAUAAUCAAAUUGUUCUGUGAGAAAAUCAUAUCUUGAAACCUAUGCUUUAUGUGAUGUUUUAACGAAAGAAAAAUUCUUACAAUAUUUUAUGAAGCCUAUGAAAGCUAUUUCAAAUAAGACAAGAUUGUUGAUGUUGUUCUUUAAGCACAAAACCAAAAGAAGAAAAAAGAAAGUCCAAAUUCAAAAAAGAAAAAGAUCAAGAAAAAUCCAGAUCAAUUGCAAGAGCAUAAAUCGAGGAGGAGCAACUUUUAAAUUGCAGUAACUAAAGCAAAGAAGGAGUGUUGAGUUUUGCAUUUAGUUACUGCAAUAAUUUUAGUUUAACAAAUUGUUUAGUUACAAUGAAUCUAAAUUUUAGAUUAGGUUGUUUUAGUUGUUGAUAAAUUUUAGGUUUUUAAAUUUUAAAUUAUGCAGAUUUUUAUUUUAUGUUGGCUAUUUAAAGCCCCAUAAUGUUCAAUAAAAUCAUUGGAAAGCCAUUGAAAGUUUGAAAGUUAUUUUAAUCCAAAGAGAGUCAUUUUAACCCCUUUUUCGCUGUCCUGUCUUUCUUUAAAAAACCAACAAUUUUAUCAGACAUCUCAAGCUUCAAGCUUUCUGCUUAAAGAAUUACUUUUCCAAAGUUGUGCAGAAUUUAGGAGUCAUGGGUGAACGAAUGGACUGGUAGGAUUUAGGAGUCAUGGGUGCACAAAUGGACUUGAGUAAUCCUCACCUCAAGAUCAACUCUUUAUCAGACGUCUCAAGCUUCAAGGUUUCUACUUAAAGAAUUACUUUUCCAAAGUUGUGCAGGAUUUAGGAGUCGUGAGUGCAAGAAAGGUUUGAACACACAUAUUGACGUCAGGUUUUAUCUUAUACCAAAUUUUAUGCAUUUUUAUAUAACUAUACCUAGUUUUCAUCGAAUUUAAUAGGUGCCGGAACAUCAAAAGUUUGGCGAUACGUCCGCCUGUCAGAGGGGCUUCAACUUUUUGGUCAAGAAGCUAAACUAAUUCGAUCAUUUUUUAACUCUCUUGUUGUGGACUUACUGACUAGUUUAGCUAUGAAAUCGAUAACAAAUCCGAUUAAACAACAAGAACCAUAUGCACAAAUGUCAAUAGACAAUUAAGUAAUUCAUGUCAAUUUAGCAGUUGCAAAGGGAGUUAAUUAGUUAUGCAAAACGUCUUAGGUUAGGUAGAUGACAUGUUCUAGCUUUUAGGUUUAGUUAUAAUGUUAUAUGUUGUCAUUGUCACUUUAAAUAUAUUUGGAUAUAUAUAAGCUCAGCCUGAAGAAAUAUUUUUAAGAAAGAGAGACGUGUUGACAAUAAAAUUGUUCAGUACUUUUGUAUGAUGGUGACAGAAUCCAAGAUUUUGAUUAAUACAUAAUAUAUAAUAUAUAAAGUCAAAAUAACUCUCUUGAUUGGUACUUUAACAUUAAACAUAGACAAAUGAAUUCCAAAACUCAAUAAAGCCAAUGCUAAAUCCUGAUGGCUCACACUUAAUGAAACAGUAAAUAAGACACACUAAGAACUGCUUAAUUUAGGACAAAAACAUCACAAUAACAAUUUGCUAUAAUUGCAACACAGUGAGUUGAAUGGAUGAUUCUACUGCAUCUCACUUUCAAUAUUCUUAGCAUUGUGGUAGAUCUGGUGGAGGUGGCUCCAUUGUCUGUUUCUCUCCUAUUCCAUUUUCGACGAUGAACGACAUACUUAGACCCCAAGCCAAGUGAGAAUCAAUGUGGCAAUGGAACAACCAAACCCCUGUAACAAAUCACAUGUAUCAAUCGAAAUUUCUGACCAGGUACAAAAUUUCAAACUUGGAACAUUUUUAAUGAUGAAAUGUGGUUCUUUACCUGGAUUAUCAGCAACGAAACGAAUGACAGCCCAUCCACCAACAGGGACAUCGAUUGUGUUCCUAACAGGAGGAUCAACCAAGUUAAAGUUGGCAGUAUCGGUUUGAGCAUUGAAGUUACCAAAACCUUGUCCUACGACCCAAAAAUGGUAUCCGUGAAGAUGGAUAGGAUGAUCCUCAGUUGAGAAAAUAGCAGUAUCUUGCAACACAAUUUGUACAUUAGCCCCAAACUUGAGCUUGUACAGCUUUGUUCCAAAUCUGGGUUGCCAAAGCCCUCGUGAAACAUUGCCCGUGUAGUCAAAUUGCACUGGUGGAACAGGUGGGAAGUCCAACGUAUAAAUACCUGGAAUGUUUUGGUAAUAGGCUUGCAGCAAUGAAGUUCUUCUAGGAAGAACAAAUGAAACGUUGUUCAUGCUAGCAGCAAAACGUGUAUUAUUAGGGCCUUGACAUCUAGGACCAGGGGUGCAAUUAACUAAGCCUAGUCCAACAGUGAAAAACAAGCUCUCGUCAAUCUGAUUGGGAACUCUAUUAUUGUUUGGGAUGCCCCUCAACUGGGUAACGAAAGCAGUGGCAGUGGAUGUAUCAUUGAAGGCUGGAAGUUGAGGCAAUGAAGGCCUUGAAUUCGCGCCUGAGUUGAGAUUUGUAUACUCAAGAAUGGCAGUGGUAGUAGUGUUGUCAAAUUGCCCGUUUCUGACUGUGGCAUAGGCACGAGCCGCCAUAUAGUAGCGGCCAGGGGACCGAUUAGCAGUGAGAAUUACAUUAGUUGUUUGGCCAGGUCCAAUCAUAAUGACAUUAGUUGUAAAAGGCUUGUUGUAAGUAGCAUCAAUACCCACAACAGUGAGCAUGUGGUUGGCAACUGAGAAGAAAAGUUGUUGAUUGAGUGCAGCAUUGAUAACCCUCAGGAGAACUUUU